UGCUUAUGAUGAAUAAUCUUAAUACCAUCUUUCGGCUGAUAUUAUUUUGAUGAUAAAUAUUAUCUGAAAGCA